rnacentral:rRNA from 1 species
GACGAACGCUGGCGGCGUGCUUAACACAUGCAAGUCGAACGGAAAGGCCCUGCUUUUGCUCGGUGCUCGAGUGGCGAACAGGUGUGUAUCACGCGAGUAACCUCUCCUUGACUUCGGGAGAACUUCAGGGAACUCGGGCUCAAAUCCGAUAUGAGCUCCUGCUGCAUGGUGGAGGUUGGUAAAUUUCGGCGUUUGUGGAUGGACUCGCGGCUUAUCAGCUUGUUGGUGGGGUAGUGGCUUACCAAGGCUUCGACGGGUAGCCGGCCUGAGAGGGUGACCGGGCACAGUGGGCCUGAGAUACGAGCCAGACUCCAACGGGAGGCAGCGGUGGGAAAUAGUGCGCAAUGGGCGGAAGCCUGAUGCAGCAACGCCGGGUGCGGAAUGACGGUUUUCGGGUUGUAAACCGCUUGCGCCUGUAACGAAGAGUGAGUGACGGUAAUGGGUAAAGAAGCACCGGCUAACUACGUG